rnacentral:lncRNA from 1 species
CUCACAGAGGAGAGCCAAGAGCUAGGGCAGGAGAAAAUUAUUAGGGAAGCUCAUUUGAGCGAGGCAUUUUCCAGAACCACGUCUCUUUCUACCCGAUGAUCUCCUCUUUCAUGUACCCUAGUUUUCUUAGUUAUCCAGACUACAGAGACAGCAUGGAAGGAAAGAAAGGAGGUAAGGCCAAUGUGAAAAGUGGCUUUCCAACUUACACUAACUACACCUUCCUUCAAGAAACUGAAACACUUUCUGGCUUCCCUGGGGUUUACUAUCUCCGUGGACAGGCAGCAUCUUUAAAGCAGGGUGGAGAUGGAGGGUUUGGUAUUGGUGACACACGGACCACUCAAGGAGCAGACUCGAACAUCUCACAAGCAGUCCUCAGGCCUUGGACUUCACGGCUUUAUCUUCCUGUCUGGGGGUCUACUGAGCAGAUUCAAGCUCAGACAUCUUGAGGAAGGAGACAUCUUACAGAGCAGACAUCUCGAGGAACGAGAGGAAAGGAUUCCUUUCAGCCUAAACUACACUCUGAAGAUCACGUGAGUUGGUCCUGUCCAUGUGACAGGAUCUAGAGACACCUAGAGACAAAGUCAUGUCUGUAGGUGAGUUUCUGGAUUUGGGUAACUGUGAUGGGAAGAACGCCCUUGGCUGUGGGUGGUACCAUCACAUAUUUCUGGGGUCCUAGACUGAAGAAAAGGGACAGGGUAGGCUGAGCACAAGCAUUCGUCUUUGUGUCCUAACUGUGGACUCCAUGUGCCCAACUCCUGCUCUGCUACUGUGGCUUCCCCACCAUGACAGAC